UACAGAGGGUGCAAGCGUUGCUCGGAAUCACUGGGCGUAAAGCGCACGUAGGCGGAUUGCUAAGUCAGGGGUGAAAUCCUGGAGCUCAACUCCAGAACUGCCUUUGAUACUGGUGAUCUUGAGUCCGGGAGAGGUGAGUGGAACUGCGAGUGUAGAGGUGAAAUUCGUAGAUAUUCGCAAGAACACCAGUGGCGAAGGCGGCUCACUGGCCCGGUACUGACGCUGAGGUGCGAAAAGCGUGGGGAGCAAACAGG
rnacentral:rRNA from 1 species